GCCAGGUGCAGUGGCACAUGCCUAUAGUCCCAGCUACUUGGGAGGCUGAGGCAGGAGGAUCACUGGAACCCAAGAGCCCUGGGCUAUAGUGCACUAUGCUGAUUGGGUGUCCACACUAAAUUUGGCAUCAAUAUGGUGACCUCCCAGGAGCAAAGACCACCAGGUCACCUAAGGAGGAGUGAACCAGCCCAGGUCAGAUGCGGAGCAGGUCAAAACUCCUGUGCUGAUCAGUAGUGGGAUUGCGCCUGUGAAUAGCCACUGCACUCCAACCUGGGCAACAUAGCAAGACCCCAUCACUA
rfam:Nomascus leucogenys chromosome 4, whole genome shotgun sequence.